GCAUUUGGGGGAUGUAUAGCAUAUGCUAAUUGUAUGUUAAAUACAAUAUCGACUAUGUCGAAUAAAGUUCUAGAUAGAAUACUGAUAAUGACAAUUUUCUAUCUAUAUGUCUUGACCAAAUCACGUGCCAGCAGUCGCGGUAAUACGUGGAAGACUAGUGUUAUUCAUCUUUAAUAGGUUUAAAGGGUACCUAGACGGUAUUUCUAGCCCGUAUAGGGUACAGACUUACUAGAGUUUAAUAUAAGAAGAGAAAAUUAAGAAUGAUACCUUUCUUCAUUUUUUGUAGUACUUGAGGUGUAGAGAUAAAAUUUUGUAAUACUUUAAGGAAACUGGUGAUGCGAAAGCAACCUUCUAUGUAUAAACUGACGUUGAGGGACGAAGGCUUGGGUCGCGAAUAGGAUUAGAUACCCUAGUAGUCCAAGCAGAAAAUUAUGAAUGUCAUAGAUCAGAUUUAUUUUGGUUUAUAAAUGAAAGUGUAAGCAUUCCACCUCAAGAGUAAUGUGGCAACGCAGGAACUGAAAUCAUUAGACCGUUUCUGAAACCAGUAGUGAAGUAUGUUAUUUAAUUCGAUAAUCCGCGAAAAACCUUACCACAGUUUGAAUACUUAAAUUGUACAAGCGCUGCACGGCUGUCUUCAGUUAAUGUCGUGAGAUUUUGGUUAGUUCCAUUAAAUUAACGUAAACCCUUGCUUUAUUUAAUCUAGAUUUUCUUAUCGGCAAGGUUAAGGAAAUCAUUUUUUUUUAUAAAGUAGUUCACCGCUAUAUUGGAUAUGAUAAAAGGGAAUAAGACAAGUCAUCAG
rnacentral:rRNA from 1 species